ensembl:lncRNA
GGGAAGAAGCAGAAGUAGAAAUGCAAGGAGUUUUCAAAGGACUGCAAAAGAAAACUACGCCAACCCAAGGAGAACAGAUGGUGGCUGAAAGAAUGGGAGGUAGAAGGAACUUACACAGAGCCACCUGUGUAGAAGAGCAGAGUAUGGACUUUAGCAUACCAAAUGUUGAGGACCGAGAAAGGCAGAAAAUGGUAGAAGAUUACGUCAGGAGCCAACAAGGGAUGCAAGGGGAACAAGAACAGAGGGACAGCUGCGAGCAGUAUCUACGGGAAGCAAAGCAACAUGAACAAGCACAAAAGAAAAGAGUGGAAUGGUACCUAAAAUAAGUGAAAAACGAAGGCGCCCCUAUGCCAGGUAUGAAUUAUGGGGGGGCCCUACCAGCACCCCGAAACCUAGUGUUCAAACUAAAAGAAGGGAAAAGGGGCAGCAGGAAAAGGAAAAGGGAGGGGACCAAGGGGAAAAAGAAGCCGGGAGAAGUGAGGGACGGCAGGACUUUGUGGAUGGAGCAUGGAACAGAGUAGUAGAGAAAAGAUGGAUGAAGGGAAAAGGAAGGAAGGUGAGACUAGAAGGGGGAUGUUAUAAUAAAUCCCUACCUGAGAUCAGAUGACGAGGAGAUGGAAGAUCAGAUAAAAAGAAUGGAAGACGUGAUCAUAUAUGAUGAAGGAACAAUGAAUAGAAUGGAAGAGCUGGCCGAUCAGUCUAAGCAAAUAGCAGAUGUAGUCACAGGGUUAAGGACCCAACAGAUGGAAGAAUUAAAGAAGUUACGGGAAAUGGAACAGGUGCUGAGCCGAUCCAUGGCCCAACAGAGGGAAGGCCAAAAGGUAUCAGUAGAGGGAGAGGAAAAGAUGGACCGGUAUCAGCCAGUAGCAGAAUUGGAUGAGGAAAAUAGAAGGAAUACUGGACAAGAGAGUGGAGCAGAAAGCAACAGGAGUGGGAAAGACGAGUUUGGAGCGACCCAGGGAGAGACAUCAGAGGAAGAGGAGGGUAAAAAAGGGAGGAAGUUGAGAGACCGAAAAAGCCUGAAACCCCCACUCAAAUAUCGCAAAUAUCCUGCCAGAGGGAAACUUAUGAGCAACAAGCCAGGGGAAUCAUCAAUAACGCAAUAUCCCCUGACGGUCAAGGGAAAAACAUUACAGUACACUCCAUGGAAUUUCAUGGAUCUGACUGGAUUAAUACAAAGGUUACCCGGCAUGUGUGAAGGAGGCCAGAAAUGGAUCACACAGUUUGAAGAAAAAACAGCAGGGCAACACCUGGCUGUAGGGGACAUUAAAGCCAUUUCAUGUCAAACAGUGGGAAAAGGACGCACUGAAGAGAUCCCAAAAACAGCCGGUAUAGACGACUCACUGGAUGACCCGACAAUAGAUCCUGUACCUUUUGGUGGAAUGCGGACGAUGAUAUGGGAUGCUAUUCGAGCAAUAUAUCCGGCUAAGAUGGACCCGGGGAGACUAGAAGUGAUCAAGCUAAAAGAGGACGAAAAUGUGUUAGCCUUUGUACAAAGUUUCCAAGACAAAUGGAGAGACGAGACGGGAGUGAAAUGGGAUUCCUCGGUAGCGAGUGUAGGACUGUUCGAAAUGCUGUUGAAAAAAGCACUACUGGAUGAGGUACAGAAGAAGCUGGAAGAAUUGGUAGGGCCAAGUUCAAUGGAAUGGAAUACAUUUAUGGCACACGUAACGCACCAUGUAGAACAGCACAGAAAGAUGAAAAAGGAGGCUAAAGAUGCCGCAGAGACCCUAUUGAAACAAUUAUACAAGGCACAGCUUGGAGAAAUAGCCAGGACCAAACAGGAGGAGAAAGAGAAAAGAAAAGAGAGUGCCAAGCAAGCGGCUAUGAUGGUGCCUGCACAGCCAACAAUCCUUGCUGGAACAGCUGUAGAGGCAAAGGGAGCAGACACCCAGGGAUAUCCCCAAGUGCAGGUGACGCAAGGGCCUGUGAUGAUGCACCCGACCCCCUAUGUUCAGAUGUAUCCAAUGUGUCCCCCCAUGUAUUCCGGACAGCCAUAUUGGAACAAGGGGAGAGUAACCAGACUGAGGGAUGCUGGGAGUGUGGGGACCCUAGCCAUUUGAGAAGGAACUGCCCACACCUCUCCAGACCGACAUGGGGUGAAAGGGUGGACAGGGCUGAAAGGCGAGGGCAGGUGUUGGGGCCUAGAGUUCCCCAACCAAUGCCUGAAGGCAGCAGGACGCAACUGCCCUGGCAGCCCCAGGUCCCGGUACCUCCGGGAGGCCACAUGUAUGGCCCCAGUGGAGGACAGGGACCGAACCAAGGUUGAAGAUGCCCAGAGGAGCCAAAGGGGGAGCUGAUGCAGUAUGCCACCACACUGCACCCCGAACAGGAACCCACAAUAAUGGUAAAAAUAGGAAACAUGUUUAGCACAUCUUUCAUGAUCGAUACAGGGGCCACCUAUUCAAGCAUCGGGUAAGAAGGCUCCCAGCUCCCCCUUUCACGUAAGGCAAUACAAACAAUGGGCUUCUCAGGGAAAACACAAACCUUACGAUUUACUGAGCCUCAGGAAUUAACACUGGAUGGGGUAACAAUUCAGGCCCCGCUUCUGUAUGUCCCAGACGCACCUGUCAACUUAUUAGGAAGAGACACUUUGUGUAAACUAGGGGCACAAAUACGGUGCGAAGCAACUGGCAUGUGGGUCACGUUUCCAAAAGCUAGGGCUAUGCAGUGCCUCAUUGUACUUGAAGGGAAAACAACAAUACAGGAAGUGGACAAGAUGUACUGGUUGGAAAUACCAGACUUACAUCAGUCGGAACUAUGGAAAAAGUAUCAAGAAUGGCAACCGUGGGUCCAAUAUAUGCGACCAGAGUACAGGGAAGUGAGCGUUCCGCUGCACUGCACCAUCAAAUACGAUAGAGGCGGGCAGGACCAGGACUACGCACAAUUAUGGGAAGAAAUGGAACAAGGACAGAAAAUGGACAUCAAGGGGUGUGGAUGUGGUCUGUGGACCUCAAGGGGUGGCGGCAACAAUUAAACUCCCAGACAGGAUAAUGAAUUGGUACCAGGACGAAGGAGCCGCUCCCCAUGUCACCCUCAUGGUGGCACACGGUUUUGAGCCAAAAGACUUAGGACCCAUGGUGAAACAAGCAAAGGAGGUAAGGGAAUGGAAACCCACUCAAAAUCAAUAUCUACAUACGUCACCAGAUGGGAAGUACACCCGCAUCUCGAUAGCAGCCAUUGACAUGACGGUUGCAGGAAGUAUGGAGAUACAUCGGAGGAUGGAUGAACAGAGUAGGCAAAUGGCUAUAGUGGAGCCGGACAGUGACACUACACAGGAUCUGCUGCACGAUAUACCCGAGCAACUAUAGACCAAGCAUGCAACGGACGUAGGACUAGUAAAAUCAGCAGGACUAGCAAAGAUAAAGAUCAAGAAGAAUGCAAAUUUGCCCUAUCAACGAUAAUAUCUGUUCUCGGUGCAAGCCAGGGAAGGUAUAAAGCCAACCAUACAGGGACUGCUGGAAGCAGGGGUCCUUGUUCCCACCAACAGUCCUUGCAACACACCCAUUUUUCUGGUAAAAAAGCCGGGUACAAACAAAUGGAGAUUGGUCCACGAUCUGCGUGCCGUCAAUCAGAUAGUAGUGCCAGAAACGCCCAUAGUACCGGACCCUCACACAUUGCUUACGAACAUCCCAGAGGGAACAAAGUGGUAUACAGUCAUUGACUUGUGCUCAGCCUUUUUCAGUGUGCCUUUGUAUCCAGAAUCGCGGCACCUGUUCGCCUUCACGUAUGAGGGGAAACAGUACACCUAUACGAGGCUGCCGCAAGGAUAUUGUGAAAGUCCAUCAAUAUUCAACCAGGUGUUGGCCCAAGAUUUGGCCACCCUGGACUGCCAGAGCAUGGUCCUCCAAUAUGUCGACGACCUCCUGAUAUGCAGUUCCUCAGAGGAAGAGUGUCAACGAGAUUCGCUAAAAGUAUUACGGCUACCGGCAGACAAUGGCCACAAAGUCAGCCCAGAGAAGCUACAGUUUUGCAAAACCAAAGUAGAAUAUCUAGGUCGAAUAUUAGAGGGAGAGAGCCGCACAAUAGCUCCCAGACAUGCGGAGUCCAUUAGUAAGGCCCAGAGGCCGCAGACAGUACGACAGAUGUUGGCUUUUUUGGGUAUGGCAGGAUUUAGUCGUCUGUGGGUAUGCGAAUUUGCUUUGAGAGUCCAACCCUUACGAGACAUGAUUAAAGCAGCACACCAUACGCAACCGAAUGCUAAGUUGGAGUGGACACCUGAAGGGGAUGCAGCCUUUAUAGAUAUAAAGGCAGCGCUGGCCACGGCACCAGCCCUUGCUAAUCCAGAUUAUAGAAAACCGUUUCAUUUGUAUGUUUCGGGAAGAAAAGGAUACGCGACUGCCGCACUAACCCAGCAACAGCAAGGCAAAGGAAGACAAGCUAUAGCCUACUACAGUACAGCCCUUGACAACGUAGAGAAAGGCAUGCCACCAUGCUAUCGUUCUUUGGCGGCAGCAGCGUUCACAUACCAGAAGGCAUCUUCAAUUACGAUGGGGCAUCUGGUCACCCUGUAUACAACCCAUGCUCUUCAUGCACUCUUGACCAGUCCGAAUUUUGUAAUAACAAAUUCGCGACGUACAGGGUAUGACUCCAUACUCUCGGCCCCUGAAUUAACUAUAGAAAGAUGCACUACGGUUAACCCAGCAGAAAAAAUGAUGACGCCCCUAGAUGAAGAUCCACAUGAAUGUGUCAGUGAGUCUGAAAAAUUCUUAAAAGCACGGCCUGAUUUAGAAACUGAUGCAUUACACGAUGCGGAGCGCACAUUCUUUGUAGAUGGUCCUGUUUCCGUACCAAUGAAGGGAAUCGGGCAGGGUAUGCCGUGAUAGAAGCAGACAAAACUCCCGCGGCGUUUAGGGUAGUUUUGAGUGUUCCCCUUCCGCAACCGUGCUCGGCCCAGCUGGAAGAGAUAAAAGCCUUGGCAGCUGCUUGUAAACUGGGCAGUGGAUGACGAUGCAAUGUGUACACAGACUCUAUGUACACAGACGCCUAUGCGCAUGGGGUAUGCCAUGUUUUUGGUCCUAUAUGGGCACAGAGGGGAUUCCAACGAGCCGACGGGUCUACUGUGACCCAUGGAGAGGCGAUCUCGGACUCAUUGUAUGUCAUGAACUUACCGUCGGCGGUAGCUAUUAUCAAAUGUAAAGCACACAAAACAGAUGGCUCUUUUAUUACUAAAGGAAAUGCAUUGGCAGACGAAGCCGCCAAGAAAGCUGCAGUAGGACCGGCCCAGAUGAUGGUGCUCACGAAGCCAGAAGAGAUCUCAGUACGUCACCCGAUGGAGGACAACAUAGCACAAAUAGUGGAAGUGCAAAACAUAGCCGGGGAAGCAGAACUCUCCAGAUGGAUAAAACGGGGGGCGAAAAAGUAUAAGGGAACUGGCCUUUGGCGUAGCAUCGAUGGCAUGUGUGUGGCCCCUGCUAGUCUCCUACCGUUACUGAUAAAAGACGCCCACGGUCUUGACCAUACCAACAGAGUAGAGACGAACCGGAAAAUAAGACAAGAAUGGUGGUCACUGUAUUUGGCGAGUGCGGCGGACCAGGCACUCAAUAACUGCGAAACGUGCAUAAGAAAUAAUGUGCGGAAAAAUUUCACUGCACCUCUAGGGCACAUUCUGCCGCCAAUGGGUCCGUUCAGACAUUUGAUGGACUAUGUGGAUAUGGGGGCCGAAAAUAGGAAGGAAUCAAAAUGCUACAUAUUCGUAGUAGAGGAUCGGUUUAGUAGAUGGGUAGAGGCUACGGCCACUUCUAGAGAAGACGCUAAAUGCAGCCAAGAUUCUCUGUCGAGAAGUCAUUCCACGUUUUGGUAUUCCAGACUAUCUGAGCUCUGACAAUGGAGCUCACUUCAUCGAUCAGACCAUUGAAUUGAUUACCAAGGCACUGGGGAUUGAGCACAAAUUGGGCUGUGUAUAUCAUCCCCAGUCCCAAGGUAUGGUAGAACGGGCUAAUGGCAUAUUGAAGAGUAAAUUGGCAAAAAUAUGUGACAGCUCACGACUAACCUGGAUGCAGGCCUUACCCCUAGCCCUGCUUAAAAUGCGCUCCCAAACUAGCCAAGUGACGCACCUCACGCCCCACAAAAUGUUAACAGGGCGCCCGAUGCCCAUGGCGUUUACACGCGCCCCGUACACGGCCCCUCGUUAGAACAAUUGGAGGGUGAAAUGAAAAGCUAUAUACGCACCCUCACACAAAUCCACAGACACUUGUAUUCGCAGAUCCAAGAGGCGGUCCACGGCGAGGAAGUGCCCCGGGUGAGGCAAAUCGAUCCGGGGGACCACGUCUGGAUCCGAGUCUUCAAGAGAAAGAACUCUCUAGAGCCACGGAGGGAAGGGUCAUUUGAAGUGGUGGCUGCCACACCAACGGCGGUAAAAGUAGCGGGACGACCCCACUGGUAUCACUUGAAGCACUUGACAAGGAAAUCAUUAUAGUCUGGGCUGUGGUCCUGGUGGCCGGACUAACUAUGGCUCUUUUACUCGUCUAUGCACCUUUUCACAACCCUGAGGAUACCCAUGAUUCCACCCCCGGAUGUAGUUAUACCCCGACAAGUACCAUGUCACCUAGAGCCGAGGCACCUGUUGCUACCUCAUUUCUCCCUCCUACCACACCCACACCGAGACCACCCCGAAGAUGCAAGAGAAACGCACGAGUAGGUCGUAUCUCACCAGAUGACCUCAACGAUAACCCAGCAGAACGUCUAAAGAUGGACAUUCUUUCCUUGUCCAUGUUUAGCCAAAAUCUCGAAAACCAGGUCAUAGAGAGCAUCAGGCACGCCGCACUGCGUCACGUCAUCAAGGCCGACCUGAUGGCGUUUUUUGGCCAGAAGGUCCCCCUCAACCCUUAGUAGAGGUCUCACUCCUGUAUAUGGC